UACGGGGGGGGCAAGCGUUGUUCGGAAUUACUGGGCGUAAAGGGCGCGUAGGCGGCCAUCUAAGUCAGACGUGAAAUCCCUCGGCUCAACCGAGGAACUGCGUCUGAUACUGGAAGGCUUGAAUCCGGGAGAGGGAUGUGGAAUUCCAGGUGUAGCGGUGAAAUGCGUAGAUAUCUGGAGGAAUACCGGUGGCGAAGGCGGCAUCCUGGACCGACAUUGACGCUGAAAGCCGAAAGCUAGGGGAGCAAACGGG
rnacentral:rRNA from 1 species